AGUGAACGCUGGCGGUAGGCCUAACACAUGCAAGUCGAACGGCAGCACAGUAAGAGCUUGCUCUUACGGGUGGCGAGUGGCGGACGGGUGAGGAAUACAUCGGAAUCUACUUUUUCGUGGGGGAUAACGUAGGGAAACUUACGCUAAUACCGCAUACGACCUACGGGUGAAAGCAGGGGAUAUUCGGACCUUGCGCGACUGAAUGAGCCGAUGUCGGGUUAGCUAGUUGGCGGGGUAAAGGCCCACCAAGGCGACGAUCCGUAGCUGGUCUGAGAGGAUGAUCAGCCACACUGGAACUGAGACACGGUCCAGACUCCUACGGGAGGCAGCAGUGGGGAAUAUUGGGCAAUGGGCGCAAGCCUGAUCCAGCCAUACCGCGUGGGUGAAGAAGGCCUUCGGGUUGUAAAGCCCUUUUGUUGGGAAAGAAAAGCAGCAGGUUAAUACCCCGCUGUUCUGACGGUACCCAAAGAAUAAGCACCGGCUAACUUCGUG
rnacentral:rRNA from 1 species